rnacentral:rRNA from 1 species
AUAGGUUAAUGAGGCGAACCGGGGGAACUGAAACAUCUAAGUACCCCGAGGAAAAGAAAUCAACCGAGAUUCCCCCAGUAGCGGCGAGCGAACGGGGAGCAGCCCAGAGCCUGAAUCAGUGUGUGUGUUAGUGGAAGCGUCUGGAAAGGCGCGCGAUACAGGGUGACAGCCCCGUACACAAAAAUGCACAUGCUGUGAGCUCGAUGAGUAGGGCGGGACACGUGGUAUCCUGUCUGAAUAUGGGGGGACCAUCCUCCAAGGCUAAAUACUCCUGACUGACCGAUAGUGAACCAGUACCGUGAGGGAAAGGCGAAAAGAACCCCGGCGAGGGGAGUGAAAAAGAACCUGAAACCGUGUACGUACAAGCAGUGGGAGCACGCUUAGGCGUGUGACUGCGUACCUUUUGUAUAAUGGGUCAGCGACUUAUAUUCUGUAGCAAGGUUAACCGAAUAGGGGAGCCGAAGGGAAACCGAGUCUUAACUGGGCGUUAAGUUGCAGGGUAUAGACCCGAAACCCGGUGAUCUAGCCAUGGGCAGGUUGAAGGUUGGGUAACACUAACUGGAGGACCGAACCGACUAAUGUUGAAAAAUUAGCGGAUGACUUGUGGCUGGGGGUGAAAGGCCAAUCAAACCGGGAGAUAGCUGGUUCUCCCCGAAAGCUAUUUAGGUAGCGCCUCGUGAAUUCAUCUCCGGGGGUAGAGCACUGUUUCGGCAAGGGGGUCAUCCCGACUUACCAACCCGAUGCAAACUGCGAAUACCGGAGAAUGUUAUCACGGGAGACACACGGCGGGUGCUAACGUCCGUCGUGAAGAGGGAAACAACCCAGACCGCCAGCUAAGGUCCCAAAGUCAUGGUUAAGUGGGAAACGAUGUGGGAAGGCCCAGACAGCCAGGAUGUUGGCUUAGAAGCAGCCAUCAUUUAAAGAAAGCGUAAUAGCUCACUGGUCGAGUCGGCCUGCGCGGAAGAUGUAACGGGGCUAAACCAUGCACCGAAGCUGCGGCAGCGACGCUGAUGCGUUGUUGGGUAGGGGAGCGUUCUGUAAGCCUGUGAAGGUGUGCUGUGAGGCAUGCUGGAGGUAUCAGAAGUGCGAAUGCUGACAUAAGUAACGAUAAAGCGGGUGAAAAGCCCGCUCGCCGGAAGACCAAGGGUUCCUGUCCAACGUUAAUCGGGGCAGGGUGAGUCGACCCCUAAGGCGAGGCCGAAAGGCGUAGUCGAUGGGAAACAGGUUAAUAUUCCUGUACUUGGUGUUACUGCGAAGGGGGGACGGAGAAGGCUAUGUUGGCCGGGCGACGGUUGUCCCGGUUUAAGCGUGUAGGCUGGUUUUCCAGGCAAAUCCGGAAAAUCAAGGCUGAGGCGUGAUGACGAAGCACUACGGUGCUGAAGCAACAAAUGCCCUGCUUCCAGGAAAAGCCUCUAAGCAUCAGGUAACAUCAAAUCGUACCCCAAACCGACACAGGUGGUCAGGUAGAGAAUACCAAGGCGCUUGAGAGAACUCGGGUG